AUUGCCUCAGUAACGGCGAGUGAAGCGGCAACAGCUCAAAUUUGAAAUCUGGCGCUUUCAGCGUCCGAGUUGUAAUUUGUAGAGGAUGUUUCGGCCACGACCCCGGGUUAAAUUUCUUGGAACAGAAUGUCAUAGAGGGUGAGAACCCCGUCUUGACCUGGGCGUACGGGCCAUGUGGAACUCCUUCGACGAGUCGAGUUGUUUGGGAAUGCAGCUCAAAAUGGGUGGUAAAUUUCAUCUAAAGCUAAAUAUUGGCAGAGACCGAUAGCGCACAAGUAGAGUGAUCGAAAGAUGAAAAGCACUUUGAAAAGAGAGUUAAACAGUAUGUGAAAUUGUUGAAAGGGAAGCGCUUGCAACCAGACUUGAGCGCGGCGGUUCACCCUGGCUUCUGCCUGGGCUACUCCGCCGUGUCCAGGCCAACAUCGGUUUCGGGGGUUGGUUAAAGGCUUGGGGAAUGUAUCUACCCUUCGGGGUCGACUUAUAGCCCCAGGUGUCAUGCGACCUCCCGGGACCGAGGAACGCGCUUCGGCUCGGAUGUUGGCGUAAUGGUUGUCAGCGACCCGUCUGGAAAA
rnacentral:rRNA from 1 species